rnacentral:RNase_P_RNA from 1 species
CAAGUAAUCCAGAUGGUCGCGGGGGUGUUUGUAACACUCAUGAGGAAAGUCCGAGCUUCAUAGGGCAGGGUGCCGGGUAACUCCCGGUGGAGGCGACUCUAAGGAAAGUGCAACAGAAAUAGACUGCCGAUGGCUUUCAUCGGCGAUGGUGGAAAGGUGAGGUAAGAGCUCACCAGCGCGGCGGAGACGUCGUGGCUCUGUAAACCCCAUCCGAAGCAACACCGUAUUGGCUCGCAUAGGCUAAGUCGGCCCGGCGUGCUUAUGCUUGGCGGUGGCUUGAACCGUAUAGUAAUAUGCGGUCUAGAUAGAUGAUCAUCGAAUACAAAACUCGGCUUACAGGAUUGCUUGCAAA